CUCCUCACAAAACUCAAGAGUGAGGGGUCUGACUGGAUCUGUCCAUAAAAAGGAGAAGAGGGAGAGGUAGAACUGAAUCUCAGCCAAAGGGAGAGGUAGAACUGCAUCUCAGCCAAAGGGAGAGGUAGAACUGAAUCUCAGCCAAAAGGAGAGGUAGAACUCAAUCUCAGCCAAAGGAAGAGGUAGAACUCAAUCUCAGCCAAAGGGAGAGGUAGAACUCAAUCUCAGCCAAAGGGAGAUGUAGAACUCAAUCUCAGCCAAAGGGAGAUGUAGAACUCAAUCUCAGCCAAAGGGAGAUGUAGAACUCAAUCUCAGCCAAAGGGAGAGGUAGAACUCAAUCUCAGCAAAAGGGAGAGGUAGAACUCAAUCUCAGCCAAAGGUAGAGGUAGAACUCAAUCUCAGCCAAAGGCAGAGGUAGAACUCAAUCUCAGCCAAAGGGAGAUGUAGAACUCAAUCUCAGCCAGAGGGAGAGGUAGAACCCAAUCUCAGCCAUUGGGAGAGGUAGAACUCAAUCUCAGCCAAAGGGAGAGGUAGAACUCAAUAUCAGCCAAAGGAAGAGGUAGAACUCAAUCUCAGCCAAAGGGAGAUGUAGA
ensembl:lncRNA